GUCGGCUUUGGGUCGGCCCAGCGCCGUAGAAUGUCUGCCCACAUACAGAAGUCGCCACAGAGGCGGAAUUUCAUCUCUGCGGUCUUUGUUUGGAACUGAGCUCGCGGGACACAGCAUCUCAUCACAGUUGGUUUCAGUUGACGUUAUCUGCUCAUCUGGUUAUCGUGAGCACUCGUUUUGGGUUAAAGUGGAAGUGCCCGGAGCUGCCACCCGUGGUCCCACGGCCCCCCGGCAUGACCUCCGGGGCCCUGGACAGGUGCUCAAGUGUGUGUGAGAGGAGCGGAGAGGAGCGCGGAGCCCGGGAGGUUAGAGAGCCCAGCUCCCUCUCCAGCAUCCUGAACACCCCCACCCGAAGGUCCAGGAAGGGCUGGUCCCGUGGCUGCACCCGGGCCAUCUGGUCUGACUGUGCGCGGGCUGCGGAGCUUCCCCAGGGUGACCCCGGCUGUGCGGCGGGCUGUGCAGCAUAUACAUAUACAUUUAUACUUGUAGGGCUAUAAGUUUACGUUUUUAGUUCACAGAAGCUGGUUAUUGUUGUGUUUAUGUCAAAAUAAAGUUUA